AUUACCCUUUCUGGGAUUGGGUAAUAGUUUUUCUAUUGCUUGAAACCUGAGAUUAUCAACAUUUCCCUGAUGGAAGUUCUUAAUGUGUCUUGCCACAGGUGUUGGAUUUAUGAUGUUUUUGAUAGAGUUAAUGUGUUGCAAAAUUCUGCGGCGAAAAGGUUGAUACGUCUUUCCAAUAUAUUGGAUACCACAUUUACAUGUGAUCAAAUAUAUCACACGAGU